rnacentral:rRNA from 1 species
GUGGGGAAUCUUCCGCAAUGGACGAAAGUCUGACGGAGCGACGCCGCGUGAGUGAAGAAGGCCUUCGGGUCGUAAAGCUCUGUCAUCAGGGACGAACGGCCGGUGGAGUGGAAAGCCACCGGAUUGACGGUACCUGAGAAGGAAGCCACGGCUAACUACGUGCCAGCAGCCGCGGUAAUACGUAGGUGGCAAGCGUUGUCCGGAAUUAUUGGGCGUAAAGCGCGCGCAGGUGGGAUCUUAAGUCCAUUUUUAAAGUUCGGAGCUCAACUCCGUGAUGGGAUGGGAACUGGGAUUCUUGAGUACCGGAGAGGAAAGCGGAAUUCCCCGUGUAGCGGUGAAAUGCGUAGAUAUGGGGAGGAACACCAGUGGCGAAGGCGGCUUUCUGGACGGUGUCUGACACUGAGGCGCGAAAGCCAGGGGAGCGAACGGGAUUAGAUACCCCGGUAGUCC